CAGGGGUCUUCAACAGUCUUUCACUUCAAAGUUACUGGGCGCCUCCAUGAGUCGGGCCCUGGGGCCUUUGGUCCGGGGUCCGGCGUCCGGCGUGUUCCUGCGUCCCGCCCCACAAGCAGGGAGGGCGGUGGCCCCGGGACUCGAGGUCGGGAUUCUAGGGGUCGCGCCAGCCCCACAAGUUUAAGGAACCCUGAGGCCUUCGCAGGAUUUGGGGUCGUCCUCUGCGGAGUGGGGGAGGGGGAGCGGACGUGCACGCGGGCGCACUCUCAGGCCGCCUCGCGCCGCCGCCUUGGAAAGGCCGCGCGCUCCCGCAGGGCCGCGUUCCCGGGCGCCCCAUGCAAAUGAGACCCGGAGCGCCCUCCCACCCCGCGCCUCCGGAAGUUGCGGGCCGGGCGCCCGCUCUCCCCACCCCCACCCCCCGACCCUCGGCAACCUCGUCCUUCCCCUGCCCGGCGGCCGCAGCGAUGGCGGCGGCGAUGGCAGCGCGGCGCGCGCGCCCCGUGCGGGUGCUGGUGGACAUGGACGGCGUGCUGGCCGACUUCGAGGCGGGCCUCCUGCGGGGCUUCCGCCGCCGCUUCCCUGGGGAACCGCACGUGACGCUGGAAGAGCGCCGCGGCUUCCUCGCCCGCGAGCAGUACCGAGCCCUGCGGCCGGACCUGGCGGACAAAGUUGCCAGUGUGUAUGAAGCCCCAGGCUUUUUCCUAGACUUGGAGCCUAUCCCUGGAGCCUUGGAAGCCAUGCAGGAGAUGAACAACAUGCAGGACACGGAGGUCUUCAUCUGCUCCAGCCCUCUGCUGAAUACCGCUGGGUGGAGAAUCACCUGGGGCCCCAGUUUGUGGAGCGCAUUAUCCUGACGAGGGACAAGACGAUGGUCUUGGGGGACCUGCUCAUUGAUGACAAGGACACCAUUCGAGGCCAAGAGGAGACCCCAAGCUGGGAGCACAUCUUGUUCACCUGCUGCCACAACCAGCACCUAGCCCUAUGCCCAACAAGGAGACGGCUGCUCUCUUGGAGUGACAACUGGAGGGAGAUCAUAGAAAGCAAGCGGGGGGCCAGAAUAGUGGAUAGUAGCUGAAGGAAGGGAAGGCAGGCCAGCAGGGAACCCCAGCAGAGCUGAAUGGCAGGUCAGUGUCGUGGAGGUGGCCCCCAGCACCGUGGAACAGGGAGACACAGUAACCUCCAUUCUCAAAAGCCAGCCACCUGGAACCCAACAAGAUGGCUGGCAAGGAAACAUGGUGGGAAAAUCACUCAGGAACCUUUUUAAUAAAACACUUUGACUCACCACUC